rnacentral:rRNA from 1 species
AACGAACGCUGGCGGCAGGCCUAACACAUGCAAGUCGAGCGCGCCCUUCGGGAUCAGCGGCGGACGGUUUUGUAAGCCGUGGGAACAUGCCCUUUUCUACGGCAUAGCCUCGGGAAACUGAGAGUAAUACCGAAUACGCCCUUUGGGGGAAUGAUUUAUCGAAACAGGAUCGUCCCGCGUGGGAUUAGGUAUUUGUUGAGGUAAUGGCCUACCACGCCAACGAUGGAUAACUCAGCAGAGAGGCUGCUCAGCCACACUGGAACUGAGACCCGGCCCAGACGCCUACGGGAGGCAGCAGUAGGGAAUCUUCCGCCAAGGGCGAGAGCGUGACGGAGCAACGCCGCGUGAGUGAUGAAGGUCUUCGGAUCGGAAAACUCUGUUAUUAGGGAAGAAAAAAUGUGUAAGUAACUGUGCACAUCUUGACGGUACCUAAUCAGAAAGCCACGGCUAACUACGUG